UUUGUAGAUCUAUUGUAGUUUGCACAUGCUUUAUUUUAAUUUUUCUUUUUACAAGUUUAUUGGUAUAUGUAACACGUUUCUCGAUCGGUUUGAUAUGGCAUUCACUACACCGUAAAUUUCGAACUUUGUUUACUUGUUUUUUCAGACUUAUGAGUAUUAUGAGGAUCUUCUCGGCAAGAAAAUCGGCGAUAGAAAUAAAAGAAUUAGACAUUAACCAUCUCUCAGUAGAUUAGGCUACAUAACCACACAUAAUAAUCGUACUCUGGAGUGAUGCGUGAGUUUUCGUACUUUGGCGGCAUCAUCCCAAUAACCCCCCGUAACCAUCACAUUUGAUAGAAGAACAUAAGUUGCAUGAUUAUUUGGUCAUAACUCCAGGAGCUUCUCUGCAGAACAUAGAGCAAUUUCCUUGUUUCCAUGAACACGACAAGCUUUUAGCAGAGCGUUGUAGACAGAUGGUCCUGGGUCUAUUGGCAUACUAUUGAUAAUGGCUUCAGCCACCUUAAGAUUCCCAGCUCGACCAAAAUGAUCAACGAUUGUAGCAUAAUGUUCCAGGAAUGAUGAAGGG